rnacentral:ribozyme from 1 species
ACUUGAGGUGAUGCUAUACCUUCUCGAGGUCUUCCAUGCGAGUAGUGUAUUCUCGCUGGUCUGAAUAGGUAUCAAAUUUCCCAAAGUAUUUUCACGAAUCAUACAACUAAUACACGAAACCAAAUAGCA